CCAUUGAGGCUUUUUUCGUGUGA
rnacentral:siRNA from 1 species